rnacentral:rRNA from 1 species
GGGCCCGCACAAGCGGUGGAGCAUGUGGUUUAAUUCGAUGCAACGCGAAAAACCUUACCAGGCCUUGACAUCCAGAGAACUUACCAGAGAUGGUUCGGUGCCUUCGGGAACUCUGUGACAGGUGUUGCAUGGCUGUCGUCAGCUCGUGUCGUGAGAUGUUGGGUUAAGUCCCGUAACGAGCGCAACCCUUAUCCUUACUUGCCAGCACGUAAUGGUGGGAACUUUAAGGAGACUGCCGGUGACAAACCGGAGGAAGGAGAGGAUGAUGUCAAGUCAUCAUGGCCCUUACGGCCUGGGCUACACACGUGCUACAAUGGGAAGUACAAAGGGUCGCAAUACCGCGAGGUGGAGCA